rnacentral:rRNA from 1 species
UUCAGACCGUAAACGAUGCCAACUAGCGAUCCGAGGGCGUUAAUUUAUGACUCCUCGGGGAGCUUCCGGGAAACCAAAGUUUUUGGGUUCCGGGGGAAGUAUGGUUGCAAAUCUGAAACUUAAAGGAAUUGACGGAAGGGCACCACCAGGAGUGGAGCCUGCGGCUUAAUUUGACUCAACACGGGGAAACUCACCCGGCCCGGACACCGUAAGGAUUGACAGAUUGAGAGCUCUUUCUUGAUUCGGUGGGUGGUGGUGCAUGGCCGUUCUUAGUUGGUGGAGCGAUUUGUCUGGUUAAUUCCGAUAACGAACGAGACUCUAGCCUGCUAAAUAGGCAGUGGAUCUAUAGUCCACUGUACUUCUUAGAGGGACAAGCAGCGUCUAGCUGCACGAGAUUGAGCAAUAACAGGUCUGUGAUGCCCUUAGAUGUUCGGGGCUGCACGCGCGCUACACUGAAGGAAUCAACAUGCUUCUCAACCUUGCCCGGAAGGGCUAGGUAACCCGUUGAAACUCCUUCGUGAUUGGGAUAGGGAAUUGCAAUUAUUUCCCUUGAACGAGGAAUUCCCAGUAAGUGCGGGUCAUCAGCUCGCGCUG